CAUGUCUUUUUGAUUAUAAUUUAAAGUCUGACCUGCUCAAUGAGAGUUUAAAUAGCCGUAGUAUUUUGACUAUGCUAAGGUAGCAUAAUAAAUAGUUUCUUAAUUAGGAACUGGGAUGAAUGGUUGGACGAAAAAUUUACUGUCUCAAUUUAAAUUUAAUUAGAAUUUUAUUUUUAAGUUAAAAAGCUUAAAUUUAUUUAAAAGACGAGAAGACCCUAUAGAGUUUUAUAUAAUUUUUUAUAUUUAUGAGUUUAAGAAUUUUAUUUUAUUUAUUUAAGUUUAUAUUUAGUUGGGGUGAUUGAAAAAUUUAAUUAACUUUUUUUAAAAAUAAUACAUUAAUUUAUGAUUAAUUGAUCCAUUAUUUAUGAUUAUAAGAUUAAAUUACCUUAGGGAUAACAGCGUUAUUUUUUUUAGAGUUCUUAUCGAAUAAAAAGUUUGCGACC
rnacentral:rRNA from 1 species